rnacentral:rRNA from 1 species
AACGAACGCUGGCGGCAUGCCUAACACAUGCAAGUCGAACGAGACCUUCGGGUCUAGUGGCGCACGGGUGCGUAACGCGUGGGAACCUGCCCUUAGGUUCGGAAUAACUCCCCGAAAGGGGUGCUAAUACCGGAUAAUGUCUUCGGACCAAAGAUUUAUCGCCUUUGGAUGUGCCCGCGUUGGAUUAGCUAGUUGGUAGGGUAAAAGCCUACCAAGGCGACGAUCCAUAGCUGGUCUGAGAGGAUGAUCAGCCACACUGGGACUGAGACACGGCCCAGACUCCUACGGGAGGCAGCAGUGGGGAAUAUUGGACAAUGGGCGAAAGCCUGAUCCAGCAAUGCCGCGUGAGUGAUGAAGGCCUUAGGGUUGUAAAGCUCUUUUACCCGGGAUGAUAAUGACAGUACCGGGAGAAUAAGCUCCGGCUAACUCC